rnacentral:rRNA from 1 species
AGAGUUUGAUCCUGGCUCAGAGCGAACGCUGGCGGCGUGCUUAACACAUGCAAGUCGAACGCGCAGCAUUCUGUAGCAAUACAGGGUGUGGGCGCGUGGCGAACGGGUGCGUAACACGUGGAUAACCUUCCUUCAGGUGGGGAAUAACCCAGUGAAAACUGGGCUAAUACCGCAUAACAAAACGAUGAGACAUCUCGCUGUUUUCAAAGGCGCAAGUCGCCAGAAGAGGGAUCCGCGGCCGAUUAGCUUGUUGGCGGGGUAAUGGCCCACCAAGGCAUUGAUCGGUAGCCGGACUGAGAGGUUGGCCGGCCACACUGGAACUGAGACACGGUCCAGACUCCUACGGGAGGCAGCAGUGGGGAAUCUUGCACAAUGGACGAAAGUCUGAUGCAGCAACGCCGCGUGGGGGAUGAAGCUUCUCGGAGUGUAAACCCCUUUCGACCCGGAAGAAAGCCCGCAAGGGUUUGACGGUACGGGUAUAAGAAGCCCCGGCUAACUACGUGCCAGCAGCCGCGGUAAAACGUAGGGGGCCAGCGUUGCUCGGAAUUACUGGGCGUAAAGGGUCCGUAGGCGGUGUGGCAAGUCGGUAGUGAAAUCUCUGGGCUUAACCCAGAGGCUGCUGCCGAAACUGCCGUGCUAGAGUGUGAGAGAGGCGAGUGGAAUUACGGGUGUAGCGGUGAAAUGCGUAGAUAUCCGUAGGAACAUCCGAGGCGAAGGCGGCUCGCUGGAUCACAACUGACGCUGAGGGAGGAAAGCUAGGGGAGCAAACAGGAUUAGAUACCCUGGUAGUCCUACCCUAAACCAUC